UACAGAGGGUGCGAGCGUUGUCCGGAAUCACUGGGCGUAAAGGGCGCGUAGGUGGCGGCCCAAGUCCAUGGUGAAAGCUCGAUGCUCAACAUCGAGUCGGCCACGGGAUACUGGGUUGCUCGAGGCACUGUAGGGGCAGAUGGAAUUCCGGGUGUAGCGGUGGAAUGCGUAGAGAUCCGGAAGAACACCGGUGGCGAAGG
rnacentral:rRNA from 1 species